AAUUUUGAAUCUGGCGGUCUCUGUGGCCGUCCGAGUUGUAAUCUAGAGAAGCGUCUUCCGCGCUGGACCGUGUACAAGUCUCCUGGAAGGGAGCGUCAUAGAGGGUGAGAAUCCCGUCUUUGACACGGAUACCAGGGCUAUGUGAUGCGCUCUCGACGAGUCGAGUUGUUUGGGAAUGCAGCUCAAAAUGGGUGGUAAAUUCCAUCUAAAGCUAAAUACAGGCGAGAGACCGAUAGCGAACAAGUACCGUGAGGGAAAGAUGAAAAGAACUUUGGAAAGAGAGUUAAACAGUACGUGAAAUUGCUGAAAGGGAAACGCUUGAUGUCAGUCGCGUCGACCGGGGAUCAACCUUGCUUUCCGGCUGGGUGUACUUCCUGGCUGACGGGUCAGCAUCAGUUUCGAUCGUCGUACAAUGGCAAGGGGAAUGUGGCACUCUUCGGAGUGUGUUAUAGCUUCUUGUCGCAUGCGGCGCUUGGGACUGAGGAACUCGGCACGACUCCGUUUGUGUCUAGGAUGCUGGCAUAAUGGCCUUAAGCGACCCGUCUUGAAACACGGACCAAGGAGUCUAACAUGCCUGCGAGUGUUUGGGUGGAAAACUCGAGCGCGAAAUGAAAGUGAAAGUCGAGACCUCUGUCAUGGAGGGCACCGACGCCCGGACCUGAGUCUUUGACGACGGAUCUGCGGUAGAGCAUGUAUGUUGGGACCCGAAAGAUGGUGAACUAUGCCUGAAUAGGGUGAAGCCAGAGGAAACUCUGGUGGA
rnacentral:rRNA from 1 species